UGGGCCUGAUGUGGUGCUGGGGC
rnacentral:miRNA from 1 species